rnacentral:rRNA from 1 species
UACAUAGGGAGCGAGCGUUAUCCGGAUUUAUUGGGUGUAAAGGGUGCGUAGACGGGAAUACAAGUUGGUUGUGAAAUCCCUCGGCUCAACCGAGGAACUGCAACCAAAACUAUAUUUCUUGAGUACUGGAGAGGAAAGUGGAAUUCCUAGUGUAGCGGUGAAAUGCGUAGAUAUUAGGAGGAACACCAGUGGCGAAGGCGACUUUCUGGACAGAAACUGACGUUGAGGCACGAAAGUGUGGGGAGCAAACAGG